ACACUUACUUUGUUAAGUGUCUGAAGUAAAAUGUAAUGCUGUAUAUAAAAUGUGACCUGAAGUCAGCUAUUGUCCUAUGUGCCAAAAAAAAAAACACACAGACGGACACACACACACACAAAGACACACAUGGAGGGAGAGGAAGCCACUCUCUCUGCUGCCUCUCCCCAAUCUUUUCCUUCUGUGCUCCUAGUGAACCUCUCACCCCCUG
rnacentral:lncRNA from 1 species